UACGUAGGGGGCUAGCGUUGCUCGGAAUUACUGGGCGUAAAGCGCACGUAGGCGGUCUUUUAAGUCGGGGGUGAAAUCCUGGAGCUCAACUCCAGAACUGCCUUCGAUACUGGAAGACUCGAGUCCGGGAGAGGUGAGUGGAACUGCGAGUGUAGAGGUGAAAUUCGUAGAUAUUCGCAAGAACACCAGUGGCGAAGGCGGCUGACUGGCGCGGUACUGACGCUGAGGUGCGAAAGCGUGGGGAGCAAACAGG
rnacentral:rRNA from 1 species